rnacentral:lncRNA from 1 species
ACUUUUAAGAUUUAGAGAAGUUAAGUUAGUUUCAUAUUUAGCAUUGCAUUUUAAAUUAAACUAAAAAUACUUAGAGAGUUAAAAUCCUUCCUUAUUCUUUUGUAUUGUUUUACUUUAUUUGUAAUAAUUUCAAUGUUGUAAUGACAGGAGAAGGUUUAGACCGUUCAAAGUAUGUAGUUAGGGUGCCUGUUACACUACCCACCACUGUUUAGGGUGCCUGCUACACUACCCACCAUUGUUGUUCCCAGUCCAUCAUCCUUGGGGCCUCCUCCUACCCCUACAGUACACCCUACUCCUGCCCCUACAAUACACCUUACUCCUCACCCUGCAAUACACCCUAUUCCUACCCUUGUAGUACACCCUCCUCCUAUCCCUACAGCAGACCCUCUUCCUCCCCCAAUGAUUAUUACCCCCACUCCUCCCCCUGACCCUACUUUUAUACCUUCCUCAUCUUCUGGACCGCCCUCUGAGACUGUCACACCAUCUGCUGAUCCAGAUUCAGCUAGUGAUGGUGAAGGUGUUGAUACGCCCC